UACGGGGGGGGCAAGCGUUGUUCGGAAUUACUGGGCGUAAAGGGCUCGUAGGCGGCCAACUAAGUCGGACGUGAAAUCCCCAGGCUCAACCUGGGAACUGCGUCCGAUACUGGAUGGCUUGAAUUCGGGAGAGGGAUGCAGAAUUCCAGGUGUAGCGGUGAAAUGCGUAGAUAUCAGGAGGAAUACCGAUGGCGAAGGCAGGUCUCUGGGCUGACACUGACGCUCAUGCACGAAAGCGUGGGGAGCAAACAGG
rnacentral:rRNA from 1 species